UCCGUCCUUCUCACCCCUCUUCCUCACACGGCAACAGCACCAGUCUCCUUUUUUUUUCCUCCUCUCCUUUUCCUCUCACCAGGAAGUAGACCGGGCUGCCGGAAGUGACGUAUGAGGGCGAGGAGAGGACAGAGGAGAUCCCACGAGCCCCCCUCCUUCCCAGUCUCCCUCCACCUCUGGCUUGCAGCUGGAGCGAACCGGGCCUGUGCGCAGCCCUCGCCGCCGCCUGCCUGGAAACGGGCCCCGGGAAACUGCCUCCUGCCCCAUGCCGUUGCGGGGAGAAAAAUCUAUCAGUCACGAUGGUCAAACAGAAGUUAAAGCUGUAACUGCACUGAAAUCUUUCACGUCUUCACGUCCAGUGCCCUACUUCACCCGGUGAUGAGGCUCAAAAGAGGGAUCGAAUGACCUAACAUAUUAUAAUAAAGCUCAUUUUACAGACAAGGAACUGAGGCAAGCAGGGUGGAUCACAUAGUUGGAAAGUAUAUGACUUUGGAUUUGAACUCAGGUCUUGCCGAGUCCACUGAGUGAGGUGCCUCACUAUCAUUUAGUCAAAGGCAAAUUUAAGCAAGUCUGAGAUUCCACCUCAUACCCAUCAAAAAGUUGAUGAAAUUGAGGCAGACACAUGGAACAUCAAGAGCUCACAACAAGUAAGCAUCUAAGGCUGUAUUUGAAUUUAGGCCUUCCUGACCCCAGGCCUAGCCAUGCUAUCCAUUUAAAACUCUUUCCUAUCUUUUUAAUCUUCCUACUGUCUGGUGGAUAUAUGGGGUGCUCAGGGAAAACUAUGGCCUCAGGUGUGAGGGCUUACUGAGCCCUUUAUCAGGCUUGCUCAUCCCACUUUGGUGUUUGGUGCUCAUUUCCCACUGUGGCUCCAAGAAUCCAUAGGAUGUGCAGUGGCCACAUCCCUGUAAAACUGUCUUGGCAGAUGGGCUAAACCAGGUUUACAGGCCUCAAACCCAUAGAUGAGUUAGGAGGACAUCCACCUCAGGGGGCUCUUCCCCCUGCCCCAUGGAAUGGGCAAAUGAAAGAGGUUGAGGCCUAUGGAAUACUUAUGAGCUUGAUCAAACAAUAAAAUGUCAUGAUCUUCUACUGAA